rnacentral:lncRNA from 1 species
CGAGCUUGGCCUGGACCCACAGUGACUCACUGGACUCUGACAGACCUCGCUCUCUGUCUGCCCCACCCUAAUUAGAUUGGCCAACCAUCCUGAGAGUGAUACCUACAUUUGCUCAACAACCACAGUUUCACCCAGCACGGUGCCCUUCACGGUGUCAGAUGUGGGUAUCCCAAGCUCCCAGGCACCUAGAGAUACUGAAGGCAUUGCCCAGCCAGACCCUGAUGCUGACAGGAUGGCUGUCACCAUUUGCUGAGCUCCGCACUGGGCUGAUUGUAUGGCAUUUACCCUUUAUUCUCUGGUGUCAGUAGAUAGGUUAUUUCACUCUUUCCUAGAUGAGAAAACCAAGGCUCAGAGAGGCUAAGCAAUUUCUCCAAAGUCACAAAGUAAGUGACCGAGCUGUAACCGAAACCCAUUUGGAUCUGGCCACAAAGCUUACGUCUUUUCUCAAGUGUGGGCUGAAGACGCUGCUCUCAAAGCCCCUGCACAUUCCUCUACUGGACUUAGCAUCGUGGAAUUUAACUAAUGCUUGCCUAGCUGGAUCCUGGGAGCUUCUUGAGGCAUGGAGAGUGGUUUGUUUCCCUGCACACUCAGCUUGUAGCUUAGUAGGUUCUGUUCCUGAACCCAGAGCUGGAAGACUCCAUCUAUCCUGGCUCACCCUGAGAUCCCCUGCCUCACCUUCUGAGUUCUGGUAUUACAGGAGGUCACCACACUUGCAAAGCUUUUACAUGGGUUCUGGGGAUACAAGCUUUGGUCCUUAUGCUUGUGUGGUAAGCACCUUGCCGGCUAAGCCAUCUCCCCAGCUCCUGGUUAACCUUAUUUCACACUGUCUCAUAAACUUACAUUGUAACCAGCCUGUUAGGAACAAAUAUAUUCUUAUGUUCCUCACUUUGGCUACCAGACUAUUGAAACAAUGGACCCUAAGAAUCUGGAAGUCCCCCAGGAAUCACAUGCUAGAAGAGGAGGAAGCCUAAAGCCUGGACCAGUCAGGGGAGGCACCGGAAGGAGAUUUCACUACUGACAACUUGUUAGACCACCUUGCUGGAAAGACUGGAGCCCAGACAAUGAUGAGCAGGACCACACCUUGACCAGGUCUGCUUAGACUUCGGUCCCUUCUACUUAAACCUCAACCUUACUUCAGGACCCCAAAGAUAGACGGAAGGAUCCGUGGAUCCUCUUUGCCCCUCGCUCAGCGUGGUCACAUGGAAUGAAUUUCCUCUUUCUGCAUUUCACUGUCCACUCAUCUGCUUUGGUCUGUUUACUGAGGACAGGUGGCUGAGGCUGGCUUCUUGGGGAACAGACAGUGACUCUCUGUCUGGUAUCAGUAUAUCAGUAGGUAACAGCACAGUGAGUACAAUAUUUGUACCAUGGACCCAUUGUCUCAGAGAGGUCCUAAAACCAUACAACAGAGCACUUUCUGGAGAGGCCUAAGAAAGACCAACUCUGAGGUAUAAGCCUGGUGUCUGUAGCAGAGGCACAAGCCUCGGAUCUGCAGCAGAUGACCUGGGCUGGAAUCCCAAGGGCACCACACGCUGUCCGUGAGACACAGACGUGUUAUUCUAACCAGGCUCCAGACCUUCAUUCCCUGAAAUCGGAAGUGGAGACCAUGA